rnacentral:rRNA from 1 species
CGAACGCUGGCGGCGUGCCUAAUACAUGCAAGUCGAACGAACCGCGACUAGGUGCUUGCACUUGGUCAAGGUGAGUGGCGAACGGGUGAGUAACACGUGGGUAACCUACCUCAUAGUGGGGGAUAACAGUCGGAAACGACUGCUAAUACCGCAUAGGACAUAGGAUCACAUGAUUCUGUGAGGAAAGGUGGCGCAAGCUAUCGCUAAGAGAUGGACCCGCGGUGCAUUAGCUAGUUGGUAGGGUAAAGGCCUACCAAGGCGAUGAUGCAUAGCCGACCUGAGAGGGUGAUCGGCCACAUUGGGACUGAGACACGGCCCAAACUCCUACGGGAGGCAGCAGUAGGGAAUCUUCCGCAAUGGACGCAAGUCUGACGGAGCAACGCCGCGUGAGUGAAGAAGGUCUUCGGAUCGUAAAGCUCUGUUGUUAGAGAAGAACAGCGCAUAGAGUAACUGUUAUGCGUGUGACGGUAUCUAACCAGAAAGCCACGGCUAACUACGUG